ACACCGAUGUCCAUUAGUCGCUUACCGAUAUUCCUCUUAUCCCUGUCAGUAGGUCCCCGUUAUCACAGAAACUCUAAACAACCCUCAAUUUACCAACUCCCAAAACCUCUUUAAACUGUUGGCAGAUAUCCUCUAUCCGUACAGUCAGAUUAACACAACCACGCAUGCAUUCAGCAUAUUCAACCUUCUAGACAACUCUGAAUUUCAACCACAGAAGUAUCUCCCAUUUCAUCAACAAUAAAAAGUACCAGCCUUUUCUCUCUUUCGGAAAAAAAAUCUAGUUCACCAAUAUAACACUAACUUUCAGCAACGAUUGCCUCAGUCUUCUCAAAACCCUAUGAAGAAAAAAAAAAACCCUAAUUCUUUGUCUUUUUUCUCCCAAAGUAUGAAGCUAGCUCUCCGAUCUAAAACCCUGAUUCUCCCCC
rnacentral:lncRNA from 1 species